rnacentral:rRNA from 1 species
AAUGAACGCUGGCGGCGUGCUUAACACAUGCAAGUCGAACGGUAACAGGAAGUAGCUUGCUACUUUGCUGACGAGUGGCGCACGGGUGAGUAAUAUAUAGUUAAUGUGCCUCGAAGACUAGGAUAGCCACUGGAAACGGUGAUUAAUACUGGAUAAGCCUCUAUGACAUAAGUCAGCGAGGAAAACGUUUUCGCCAAGGGAUCGGACUGUAUUGUAUCAGCUAGUUGGUAAGGUAAUGGCUUACCAAGGCUAUGACACAUAGCGGGUCUGAGAGGAUGAUCCGCCACACUGGUACUGAGACACGGACCAGACUCCUACGGGAGGCAGCAGUGGGGAAUAUUGCACAAUGGACGCAAGUCUGAUGCAGCAACGCCGCGUGGAGGAUGACACAUUUCGGUGCGUAAACUCCUUUUAUAAGAGAAGAAAAUGACGGUAUCUUAUGAAUAAGCACCGGCUAACUCCGUGCCAGCAGCCGCGGUAAUACGGAGGGUGCAAGCGUUAUUCGGAAUCACUGGGCGUAAAGCGCGCGCAGGCGGCCUGAUAAGUUGGAAGUGAAAUCCUAUGGCUUAACCAUAGAACUGCUUCCAAAACUGUCAGGCUAGAGUCUGGGAGGGGAAGAUGGAAUUAGUUGUGUAGGGGUAAAAUCCGUAGAGAUAACUAGGAAUACCAAAAGCGAAGGCGAUCUUCUGGAACAGCACUGACGCUGAGGCGCGAAAGCGUGGGGAGCAAACAGGAUUAGAUACCCUGGUAGUCCACGCAGUAAACGAUGAAUGUUAUUCGUCGGGUAGCUAGUCUAUUCGGUGAUGCAGCUAACGCAUUAAACAUUCUGCCUGGGGAGUACGGUCGCAAGAUUAAAACUCAAAGGAAUAGACGGGGACCCGCACAAGUGGUGGAGCAUGUGGUUUAAUUCGAAAAUACGCGAAGAACCUUACCUAGCCUUGACAUAUUUUAGAAUCCUCCAGAGAUGGAAGAGUGCCUUCGGGAGCUAAUUUACAGGUGCUGCACGGCUGUCGUCAGCUCGUGUCGUGAGAUGUUGGGUUAAGUCCCGCAACGAGCGCAACCCUCGCUAAUAGUUAAUCUUUCACUGGAGACUGCCCCCGCAAGAGGGAGGAAGGAAGGGAUGACGUCAGAUCAGCAUGGCCCUUACGUCCAGGGCAACACGCAUGAUACAAUGGCCGGUACAACGGGAUGCCAAACCGCGAGGUGGAGCAAAUCCCUUAAAACCGGUCUCAGUUCGGAUUGGAGUCUGAAACUCGACUCCAUGAAGUUGGAAUCGCUAGUAAAGGCGGAUCAUCACGCCGCCUUGAAUACGUUCUCAGGUCU